UACAGAGGGGGCAAGCGUUGUUCGGAAUUACUGGGCGUAAAGGGCGCGUAGGCGGCCUUCUAAGUCGAACGUGAAAUCCCCGGGCUCAACCCGGGAACUGCGUCCGAUACUGGAAGGCUUGAAUCCGGGAGAGGGAUGUGGAAUUCCAGGUGUAGCGGUGAAAUGCGUAGAUAUCUGGAGAACACCGGUGGCGAAGGCGGCAUCCUGGACCGGUAUUGACGCUGAUGAGCGAAAGCCAGGGGAGCAAACGGG
rnacentral:rRNA from 1 species